GUUGAUAGUUGGCUGCUAGAGUUGGCGCACGCGGAGCGUCAAACAAGUUCGGUCCGGUCAUCGCGAUCCGAAAGUGCCGGCGGCGUUGCGUGUCAGACGCGUUGAUACAACGGAAAAAUUGCGCGUUAUACGCGAGCGGAGAAAUUUCCUAUCGCUCGGCUUGCGCUUUCGAGAGCCAAUCGGAAGGCACGACAGCAGCGAGCGCAUCGGGAAAGCUGUGGAAUUUGGUAUGUCGCGCGGCUAACGUUUUUUCACGGCUACGUCAUGCCUACGCUUGGAUUCGACCGAACAGCCGGGCUGCUCUGUAACGGCUUUUGCUUUAGGGAGAUAAGGACGCUAUGAUAUGGAUGUCGGAUCCUGUCACGCAUCGAACCUUCGAAUCGGCGGCGCUGCUGCGCUUUGACGUGUGAACGAAGUGACGAACCGAAACAAAAACAAUGCGAGUGCGAACAGGUGCGAAGGUGUUGUGACUUGUGGGUGUUAUUUCAUCGUUCGAGCGAAUAAAUUAUCAGGCUCUUGUACAGCGAACAGAGCGAGUAAUGAGGGAAGGAUAUGAGCUUUACCCGUGGAGGCAGAGAACAUGAAGAGGAAUCACUUGACGCAUAUAAAUUAUUAGCAAACGGACGAGAAUGGCCGAUGAAAUGUCAAAUGUUCGUUUGUAACGGCUUGCGAUGAAAUUUCGCAAGACCGUCUCAACUAGCCCCAAAAUGGAGCUGUUGAGCCGAAGAUUAUCGAGUAAUCCGAUAUCUUCGUUAAAGAGAUCGCGAUCCGUCAGAGCGUCGUUGAAAUUGGUAUCGAAGAUUCGUAGCCACGCGAAUUCCAUGAUCGUUGUUCAGCCUUCGAGUUCAUUACACCCCACAGUCUCGCAGCAAAAUCCUGAGGAAAUGUUUCGUCCGGCAAGUGCAUCUCCUCUGGGAAUUGCUUCGAAGGCUGUUAAGGAACCGUUGAAAAGGUUUACCGACCCAAAGACAAAACGUUCGAGGUGCCGAGUGACCGAGGAAAUGCCCCGAAAGGGUUCUGACGAGAAAACUUUUCGCUUCGCAACUAAAAAAGUGAACGAUGAAGCAAAGGAGGAAAAAAUUGAUCUACAUACAUCGCAAAACGAUUCGCCCGAAGAAGAGGGCGAAAGCAGCGACGGGACUUUGACGAACAAUUCGACCUUCACAAUGAAGGUCGAAAAGUUUUCGUUCGCGGACCGAAUCCGUGGCCGACGUAAGAAGAACCUGCCGGAAAUGAAAGGUCUCGAGGUGAAAAGGUCAUCCUCGAACGUUCAGAACUGUGGCGCCGGUACCAAAGAUCAGACAAAGUCGCCGAGAAGCCCGGGGAACUUUUUUAUUCGCCGGGACAAAAUCCAGGGGCAGGCGAAAACGAUCAGAGACUCGACAAAUGGCGACGGUCCUGAACUGCGGAUAGUUUUGGGCGAAUUCAACUCCUACGAAAAUCCGAUGUUCAGUUUGGACAGCUCCACAAACUCGGACGCCUGCAGUUGCACCCUGGCGAACAACGGCGAGUCGGAUUCUCCGGUUUCCCGGAAAGAUGUGGGGAGUUUUGGUAGCGGAUUUCGGGGCGUUAGCGACGGCAGUUCGAGGGAAAUCCGGCCGAGUGACGCUGGUGAAAUAAUGUCGAGUAUUGGGAUUUCGGCGAAUCUGUUGAAACCCCCCAAGCCAAAGACCAUGGAUAAUAUUACGAACUUUCUCACAAGCAAGAAGAGCGCUACUCUACGUCCUAAUAAACCAAAGUGCAAAAUUAUGUCGAAAGAGUCUAGGGACGAUGAAAUGAGCCCGCAGUCCGUCCAGUCGUUGCAGAGUAAUAACUGGCGCCGAAGGAUGAGCACUUCUUCGUCAGGUUCGAUGUUGGCCUCGCGACAAGGGAUGGAGUUCCUGGAGGGGUUUGGAAAAAAGAAACAUCAACAGCAACAACAAAUUCAUCUCGUGUCCGCGACUCAUCUGAACCCUCUUACGGCACAACCUAGUCUCAACAUACAUUUACAUGCUUUGUUCGCUGCGGUUGAGCAGGGGCAUUUAGACAAAGCAAGAACGAUUCUCGAAUCAACUGACGUCGAUGUAAACAGCGUCAACAGUGACGGAUUAUCCCCGUUGGACGUUGCUGUGCUAAGUAACAACAGACCUCUCGCAAAAAUGCUGGUUGCAUUUGGUGCUCAAGAAGGAAACCAAUUCAAAUCGCCAGAGUCGCUUGGCAGUCAUUUGGCAUCCCUACUUUCCGAGGCUGAGCACAGAGUCCAAGAGCUUGGUGGCAGUUCGACUAGUAUGGGAACUACACUUCUGGAGCCACCAAGUCACAGAGCGAGUUUCUCGACACCGCAGAAUAAUUUGACAGGAUGCGGAGGUAACGCCGAAGAUAAGCAACUUGCGCUGUGGGAGAGGAGAGCCAGAGCAUUGAGAAAAAUGUUGCUAGGAUUUGAUCAAGCCCGUCCGCCAGAUAUGCCGUUUCUGGUGGCAGUUGAUGUUACUGGAACAACUUCCGUAACGGUCAGAUUUCAGGAGCCGGAUUCUCACGAUUCUCCAAUCUGUACUAAAUUCAAGGUACAGUGGAGCGUCAGGGAAGAUUUUUCCAUCAUAUGCGGAGACAGGGAAGUUUUGGACAUGAAGCAACGGGAGUGCAGAGUCGACGAUCUCACGCAAGGGCAAAGAUACUAUUUCAGAGCUGCCGCGGGUAAUCUGAAAGGUUACAGCAGGUUUAGACCGUCCACCCCUGCCCACGUUACCCCAAGUAGCUGGAGAGACAUUGAUGGCCGCUUGCCGCGUUUCGCUGGUCGCCUUCAGCAAUUGGAUACGUUAUUUACGGAUAUCAGGCGACCAGAAUACACGCAGGAAACACCGGCCGUACAGCGAAGAAAUCACAGGAAAAAGACGACUAUCAAACAACUGUUUACAGCUACGAGUAAGUUUCAGAAAAAUUUGAGAAGGGGCGUUUACUUGGCGUGUUUGUUGUAUCAUGAAGAUAAGGUGCUAGUCACCAAUGAGGACUUCUUGCCGGUUAUCGAAAUCGACGAAACCUAUCCCAGCUGUAUUUACAACGAUUUUCACUGGCUCAUGAAAGUCGCUUGUACUUGGGACGAUGUCAAGUCUUUGAGACAAGACAUGGAAAAAAGUCAUAGCAGUUCAACCAUUCAUUUUAGGAUCAAAUUGCUCCAGGCUGCUGCUCAAAUGCAAGCAGCUCUUUGUAUACAAGACUUGGGUCAGUUGUACCAUAAACCAAUAAGAGACGUGCAAGGAACCAUGGUUCUGUCCACUAUAAAUUACGUUAAAUCGCCAAAGCUGGUGUCUGUUUUGAAUAGCCGUUGGCUGCCGCUUAGCAAAGUUACUAAAAAACUGAUCACCCACGAAGAUAGCAGUGUUGCUGAUAUUCUUAUGGCCAGCAUCCAGGAUCAGAUGACCUAUCAUCAGGUCAGCAGCAUCAAGCUAUCCAAAGGCUUGUACCUAGGAUAUCUAAAAAUGCAGAGCAGCGUUGACUUGAUUCAGGUCGUUGUACCAUCCAAGACUCCAAAUGUAUUACCUCACUGCAAGAUACGUGACAACCCUCAUGUCUCUGCGGAAGAAUGGGACUACUUGAAACAAAUGACCAGGAUUCAGCCCAGUGAGCAAUCCGCCAUUGAAGAUACCGAAGAAAAGGAGAACGCAGCGAACGAAACCCAAGGGACUGAACAACAAAAACUAUUCGUGGAUUUGGUUUCUGCGACGGCGAGACGACUGUUUGGAUAUAUGGAAAUAAAUGUUGAAGAUUCUCUGAAUCAUCGAUUGUACGAUGCUGAAGUGAUAGACUUAACAUCGGACGUGUCGUUCCUGAUAACAGUUCCGCCGGCGGAAACUGCAUGCUCUGUACCUGGGACAAGAGAAAUUCUUUUGAAGAGAGGAGAUCUGCUAUCUUUACCUAUCCAAGUAUUUGAAAUGGUGCACCUAAUUACCUAUCAAAAAGAUGUGAUAAACAGAUACUCAAGAUUGAGCUGCAUCCUAGAACUUGACACUGCUUUGGCGCAGCAUAAUCAUAGGGAAGCUUUCAGCUCUUCCGAGUUGAGUGUGGCUAAGGACAAAUUAAUCAAAUUACAGGAUCUACAAUCGCAAGUUAAUAUUGUAUGGAAAGGAGCCAGAUGGCUCAUUGAUGUUAUUUCGUUUGCAAGAGACAGAGGUUCGUCACAACAAAACAUUGCUGGUCAAAUUUCUGGGAUCUCGAUGAGACAUCUGCUGAACCUAGAUCGCAAUAAAAAUAGUAACAGCCUGAAGCGAAGUCUUCUGCAGCUUCCUCCGCGAGAUCCUAAGCUAGUGAAAUCCAGUCCCGGUCGUGGGAGCUGGCCUGGCCCGAACAUAACGAACUCAACGUCAAAUCUGCUGACCACAGAAUUUAGUAAAAGUGAACAGCAGCUGCCGAGCGGUCAAUACAUCCGUAAGGGCAGUAACUGUUCGACAAUGUCAGCUGGUAGUGAAAUGGUAAAGACCUCUGCAAUCAGCUCAACAAAAAACAAUUUGAUCCCAGUACAGAACUCGAGAUUACCUCCUUCAAAGUCCGAAGACACGCUACUUCUGACCCACUACAAACACAGCCCAAGAAACAGAUCGGCUACAAUAACUUCUGCAUCUGCCAGUACAAGUCCACUGUUGAGUAUAAAGCCAAUUAUUUAUGGAGGAUCCUUGCUUAGUGUCUCAACAGCGAUGACCAACACGACGAGCAUGUUGAGUGUCAGCAAUACUAAUUCAGAUAGUCUGCACUCGUUGAGCAGCGAUGAGUUUUCAACUCCCAUCUCAAGCGUCAGCCUUAAACCGAGUCAUGCAAAGUCGAAAAUGUCAAAACCAACGGCGAGUGUUGCUGCAAUUGCUAGUUCUGUAAUGGAAAGUCAGCUGAAUGAAGAAAAAGAUGAAGCCAUAAUGAUGCCAGCACCUCUUCCUGGAAUUUUACAGGAGACUCGAGUUUGACGUAUGUACUGAAAAUAUAACCAGCUCUACACUCAGUCUCCUAACGUAACCCCAGUAUAAGUAUAUGCAGCGUACGAAACAGGCUUAGCUUCGGGAACGAGUUUAAAACUUCAUGUUACACCCCGAACGACAGCUCGAGAGGUCGUCGAUUUGGUUGUGACGCAAUUGAAUGUUGCUGUAGUCUUGAAG
rnacentral:misc_RNA from 1 species